UACGUAGGGUGCAAGCGUUAUCCGGAAUUAUUGGGCGUAAAGAGCUCGUAGGCGGUUUGUCGCGUCUGCUGUGAAAACUGGAGGCUCAACCUCCAGCCUGCAGUGGGUACGGGCAGACUAGAGUGCGGUAGGGGAGAUUGGAAUUCCCGGUGUAGCAGUGAAAUGCGUAGAGAUCGGGAGGAACAUCCAUGGCGAAGGCGGCUCUCUGGACCGAUACUGACGCUGAGGCGCGAAAGCGUGGGGAGCAAACAGG
rnacentral:rRNA from 1 species